AACGUACGCUGGCGGCACGCCUAACACAUGCAAGUCGGACGCAGUAGCAAUACUGAGUGGCAGACGGGUGAGUAACAUGUGGGAAUCUGCCUUGUGGCUCAGGACAACAUUGGGAAACCGAUGCUAAUACUGGAUAAGCCCUUACGGGGAAAGUUUUAAUGCCAUAAGAUGAGCCCGCAUUUGAUUAGUUAGUUGGUGAGGUAAUGGCUCACCAAGACAAUGAUCAAUAGCUGAUCUGAGAGGAUGAUCAGCCACACUGGGACUGAGACACGGCCCAGACUCCUACGGGAGGCAGCAGUGGGGAAUCUUGCACAAUGGAGGAAACUCUGAUGCAGCGAUGCCGCGUGAGUGAAGAAGGCCUUUGGGUUGUAAAGCUCUUUUGUAGGGGAAGAUAAUGACUGUACCCUAAGAAUAAGGUCCGGCUAACUUCGUGCCAGCAGCCGCAGUAA
rnacentral:rRNA from 1 species